CAAGAUUUAUAGCCCUUAACUAUUCUGUUGUUUUCUGUCUCCCCAGAGUCCAACUGAAGACAGAUGCAGCAAUUCCAAGUGCCACUGGUGGGACAUUUGCUUGAGCAGAGAAAGGGUGUCCUUUUUCUUCUCUUGCACUAAAGAGUUGAAAUUUGUCCUGGUAAAUUUAUCUGUAAAAUCUAUUUUACGGUUCAAGAUUCUACUGUUGUGAAGACAUCACAUUUUAUUUAACAAGAGGUAUUCAGACUCUCUAGUCCUAAGCCAUCCAAGCCAAAGAACCAUUCUUCUCUCUCCUCGAGUUGAACUCACAGCUGCAGGAAGAUUUACUGAAAAAAUUCAGGAAAGAUCAAGAGAGCAUGAUCACCUGCAGUACAUGGCUUUAUCAAGAAAGUUCUGCUUUACUCCUGCUAAAAAAAACCAGCUGCUUACUAUAGCUUGGGAGGAGCCUUUAAAUUCUUGUUCGCUAAAACAAGCCUGGUUCAUGGCCCAUCACCACUGACUCUAGGCUCCUUCUGUAAUAUUUGCCCUAGUGAUAUUUUGCAUCCUGAUUGAAAAGGAGCACGGUAAUGUGCAAACUUGUCUCACAGUACAAAGCUGUAUUGCCUACUCUGAGAGCAGGCUAGAAAAAUCCUUGUAUCUCUAGAAAUAUGGAAGUGUAUGGAGAUCUCCAUUAAAAAGAAAGAAGUGCAAAAGCUAGAAAGUUGAGGGUAAGCCUCACAAGCAAAAUCCCCCAAACACUGUGAGCAGACAAGUUAGAAUAAAGCUGAGAUGGAAAUUUAUACAUUUUUAGAGAGGUGAAUAAAGACAGAUUCAGGGAAGAAGUGUAUCUUGCAAACACACAUACACUCAGAGAAGUCAAAUGUCCAAUGUUUAAAACUCACAUUGCAUGAAAUACAGCAAACCCACAGUGCUAACUGAGGCACAGUAUGGUAGAUGCAAAAUCUUUAAGUCAACAGCAUUCCCUUGUGGACAAUAAUCACUGACUGGGAAAUCUCUUUAAAAGCCCUGGUCCCUGCUGGGUGAAGCGCUGGAAUCUUUGCUGUUCUCUCAGGGUGCCACCCUGCUGUGUGCAUGGUGAUGAAGAAUAAAUAUGCAUGAAGUCGACAGUUAGUUUGGCUUCCACCAAAGCUUAAUUUAGCUCACUUCCCAGUGCUGAAUAAGAGAAAUUAAUAAUAAUAAUUAAUAGUUCUUUUAACACAGUGAGUAAGGAGCAGCAUGUGAUAAAAAUGCUAAAUCUAGGGAAACUUCAUUGCUGGGAGACAAGGAUUGUACAAUGCAUUCCACAUUGCCAAGGACGUACAACAUACUUUGGAGGGCACUGAUGGACUAAACAAAAGAAAAUGUCUGGUCAGAGGAAACAAAGGAAUGCACUGUAGAAUCCAGGGAGGAUGUAGUAUGGUCCACACCAGCUAGAAUGCAUCUCCUGAGGAGGCUGAAAUUCCUUCCAUCUUCUUCCCCCUCCUGUUUUUGGUUUUCGACCUUCUCUGUCAAGAAAAGGACAAAAGCUCUAUUAUGUCUGAAGUCUGGCCACAAGCAACAGUACCUAAAAAGUGCUUCAGAGCAUUUAGUUCAUGAGCAUGUGCUAUUUCUGCAGGACCUUGGCAAGCUUUCUCAGUGACUUUUGCCAUCAUCCACAAAUUGCGUAUUCCUUCAGUAUAACUUCACAAAGGUUCCUCCUUUUUUUCUUGGCUUGCACCACUGUACUCACUUCCUUAGAAGCCAGAAGAUGCAGAGCUGACAUUGUACAAGGAAUUCUGAAUAAAUUCUGAUAUCCAUUUUGAGGAGAAAACAUGGGGUGUUCAUUACUGAUUUUGUUACUUUAUUGUGGUUAUUUCUGUGUAUAGUUGUAAAUGGGGUUUUUUGUGGGUAGUGCUGCACAAAGUCUGAGAAAGGUAGCAUACUUCCCUACGAAAUUUCAAAAUGUUUUUAAAAGUACAGCAAGUAGAAAGCAGAGAAGUACAUUCUAUUUUUAUAAUGUGUAUAGUGUCGGGGAAGGUUUAGGUUGGAUAUCAGGAAAAAGUUUUCAUCCAGGCUGUGGUUGGGCACUGGAAGAGGCUCCCCAAGG